UACGUAGGGGGCAAGCGUUGUCCGGAUUUAUUGGGCGUAAAGAGCGUGUAGGCGGCCAUGCAGGUCAGCUGUGAAAACUCGAGGCUCAACCUCGAGACGUCGGUUGAAACCGCAUGGCUAGAGUCCGGAAGAGGAGAGUGGAAUUCCCGGUGUAGCGGUGAAAUGCGCAGAUAUCGGGAAGAACACCUAUGGCGAAGGCGGUUCUCUGGGCAUUACCUGACGCUGAGGAGCGAAAGUGUGGGGAGCGAACAGG
rnacentral:rRNA from 1 species